AUGAGAGAGGUGGGAAUCCUCUCGGCCGAAUAUCUAAGGUUUCCAGGGUAAAGCUGAUCUGCCCUGGGUAAGUCGGGGCCUAAGGCGAGGACGAGAGUCGUAGCCGAUGGACAACAGGUUGAGAUUCCUGUACUGCAGUAAGACAGAACUGUGGGGACACGUGUGGAGAGCAUAGGCGCGGAAUGGAAAGCCGCGUGCAAGCGAGGUAGGAGUCCUGUAGGAAAAACCGCAGGGCAAUCCGAAGGCGUGAUGCGGACCGAAAUCUAGUAGGGAAGUAUGUGAGCCAUGCGUCAAGAAAAGCCGCUAUUGUUCUUAUUGUACCCGUACCGUAAACCGACACAGGUGGAUGAGGAGAGAAUCCUAAGGCCGACGGAAGAAGCAUUGUUAAGGAACUCGGCAAAAUGACCCCGUAACUUCGGGAGAAGGGGUGCCACAGAAAUGUGGCCGCAGAGAAUAGGCUCAAGCAACUGUUUAGCAAAAACACAGGUCUAUGCAAAACCGAAAGGUGAGGUAUAUGGGCUGACGCCUGCCCGGUGCUGGAAGGUUAAGAGGAGAGGUUAGCGCAAGCGAAGCUUUGAAUUGAAGCCCCAGUAAACGGCGGCCGUAACGAUAACGGUCCUAAGGUAGCGAAAUUCCUUGUCGGGUAAGUUCCGACCCGCACGAAAGGCGUAAUGAUUUGAGCGCUGUCUCGACAAUGCAUCCGGUGAAAUUGAAGUACCAGUGAAGAUGCUGGUUACCUGCGCCAGGACGGAAAGACCCCAUGGAGCUUUACUCCAGCUUGAUACUGGGAUUCGGUAUUGCAUGUACAGGAUAGGUGGGAGGCUGAGAAUCGGUAACGCCAGUUGCCGAGGAGCCAUUGUUGGGAUACCACCCUUGCAGUACUGGGUUUCUAACCAGCAGCCGUGACCCGGCUGGGGGACAAUGUCAGGUGGGGAGUUUGACUGGGGCGGUCGCCUCCGAAAGGGUAUCGGAGGCGCUCAAAGGUUCCCUCAGAAUGGUUGGAAACCAUUCGAAGAGUGCAAAGGCAGAAGGGAGCUUGACUGCGACACCGACGGGUGGAGCAGGUACGAAAGUAGGACUUAGUGAUCCGGUGGUAUUAAGUGGGAAUGCCAUCGCUCAACGGAUAAAAGCUACCCUGGGAUAACAGGCUUAUCACUCCCAAGAGUUCACAUCGACGGAGUGGUUUGGCACCUCGAUGUCGGCUCAUCGCAUCCUGGGGCUGUAGUAGGUCCCAAGGGUUGGGCUGUUCGCCCAUUAAAGCGGUACGCGAGCUGGGUUCAGAACGUCGUGAGACAGUUCGGUCCCUAUCCGGCGUGGGCGUAGGAUAUCUGAGAGGAGCUGUCCUUAGUACGAGAGGACCGGGAUGGGCGGACCGCUGGUGUACCUGUUGCAGUGCCAGCUGCAUGGCAGGGUAGCCAAGUCCGGAAGGGAUAAACGCUGAAGGCAUCUAAGCGUGAAGCCCCCCUCAAGAUGAGAUAUCCCAUUCGAAAGAAGUAAGACCCCUUGAAGACGACGAGGUAGAUAGGGCAGAGGUGGAAGUGCAGUAAUGUAUGGAGCUGACUGUUACUAAUCGGUCGAGGGUUUGACU
rnacentral:rRNA from 1 species